CAAUAGCGUAUAUUUAAGUUGUUGCAGUUAAAAAGCUCGUAGUUGGAUUUUGGGUCUUCCUUUCUGCCGGGGACUCGUGUCUGGUCUUAAUUGAUCGGCGCGAGGAGUCGGCGUUGUUACUUUGAAAAAUUAGAGUGUUCAAAGCAAGCCAUCGCUCUGAAUACAUUAGCAUGGAAUAACAUGAUAGGACUUCUGUCUUAUUUUGUUGGUUUCCGAGACGGGAGUAAUGAUUAAUAGGGACAGUCGGGGGCAUCCGUAUUUCAUUGUCAGAGGUGAAAUUCUUGGAUUUAUGAAAGACGAACUUCUGCGAAAGCAUUUGCCAAGGAUGUUUUCAUUAAUCAAGAACGAAAGUUGGGGGCUCGAAGACGAUCAGAUACCGU
rnacentral:rRNA from 1 species